CCGGGGGGCGGUGCUAUACAUGCAGUCGAGCGGACAGAAGGGAGCUUGCUCCCGGAUGUUAGCGGCGGACGGGUGAGUAACACGUGGGUAACCUGCCUGUAAGACUGGGAUAACUCCGGGAAACCGGAGCUAAUACCGGAUAGUUCCUUGAACCGCAUGGUUCAAGGAUGAAAGACGGUUUCGGCUGUCACUUACAGAUGGACCCGCGGCGCAUUAGCUAGUUGGUGAGGUAACGGCUCACCAAGGCGACGAUGCGUAGCCGACCUGAGAGGGUGAUCGGCCACACUGGGACUGAGACACGGCCCAGACUCCUACGGGAGGCAGCAGUAGGGAAUCUUCCGCAAUGGACGAAAGUCUGACGGAGCAACGCCGCGUGAGUGAUGAAGGUUUUCGGAUCGUAAAGCUCUGUUGUUAGGGAAGAACAAGUGCAAGAGUAACUGCUUGCACCUUGACGGUACCUAACCAGAAAGCCACGGCUAACUACGUGCCAGCAGCCGCGGUAAU
rnacentral:rRNA from 1 species